CUAUUUUUAAAUCACGAACACUACUCAGGGCUUCUUGCUUCCGCGGUUGGUCGGAUGGCCAUCCAACCGCAGAAGCAAAAAGCCCUGUAUAUACGAGGUUGGUAUAAAUGUCGGAGACUUUACCUCAGUCUAUAGUUAAAAUAGUAAUAGAACACGUGAACUCCACGCGCGAUAGCGUGAUAUAUAGUUUUCCUUUAAAACAGGAAUUUUUGUUAUUGUUGUGAGACUUUGACUGCGAAACCAUUGUAAAAAUGUGAUACGAG